rnacentral:rRNA from 1 species
GACGAACGCUGGCGGUGUGCCUAAUACAUGCAAGUAGAACGCUGAAGGAGGAGCUUGCUUCUCUGGAUGAGUUGCGAACGGGUGAGUAACGCGUAGGUAACCUGCCUGGUAGCGGGGGAUAACUAUUGGAAACGAUAGCUAAUACCGCAUAAGAGUAGAUGUUGCAUGACAUUUACUUAAAAGGUGCAAUUGCAUUACUACCAGAUGGACCUGCGUUGUAUUAGCUAGUUGGUGGGGUAACGGCUCACCAAGGCGACGAUACAUAGCCGACCUGAGAGGGUGAUCGGCCACACUGGGACUGAGACGCGGCCCAGACUCCUACGGGAGGCAGCAGUAGGGAAUCUUCGACAAUGGACGGAAGUCUGACCGAGCAACGCCGCGUGAGUGAAGAAGGUUUUCGGAUCGUAAAGCUCUGUUGUAAGAGAAGAACGAGUGUGAGAGUGGAAAGUUCACACUGUGACGGUAUCUUACCAGAAAGGGACGGCUAACUACGUGC